AUGCCUGCGGCCAGCGUGCGCACCUCCUGGGGUGCCGGAGCGCUGCCCGCUGGGACGAGGCGUCUCCGCCACCGCGAGAGGGGAGCAGCCUGGGGUGCCCCUCGGCCUGGCUCCACAGGGGGAUCCGGCUGCCUGGGGCAUGGGACUGGAGGCACCCUGGGAGCCAAACCUGCUCUCUCCCCGGCACUGCGCAGGGGACGGAGCCGGGCGGUGUUCCUCAGUGCACAAGGAAGCACCCGGCUCCUUCCAGCCAGGGGAGGGCUGCUCCUGGGACAUGUCUCCUGCCUCCAGCACAGGUCCAGCAAUGGCUUAGGGUGGGGAAGGGGCAGGUCGCUGCUGUCUCCCUGCAGCUUUGACYUUGCUCACACCCUGGGCAGGAGCUUUGCUCCCCGGUCUGGAGGGAUGCUGGCGCCUCAUGGUACUGCGGGGGCCGGUGGGCACUGCCAGCUCUGCUGCACCCGCGCAUGGCUCAGCUGUGCUCUGCCGAGCGCCCUGGCUUCCUCCRGGUGCUCCAGCCCUCUCGGGCCUGCGGCUGCACACACGCAGGUCCCCGGGGCGCUGCCAUCUCAUCCAGCCCCAUUGCAGCCCCAUGCACUCUGCCUGGACAUUGCACCUUGCUGUCAUGCCAUCCCUGAGCUGCGGGUGCCCAGGGCUGGAGGACGUGGCCCUGCAGCACCAGGCGAGGCAUGGGGCAGCCCGGGCAGCCCUCUGAGCCAGGUUUGCUGGAGGGAUCGUGGGGCCACCCGUGACUGCAGUGAGAGCUCACAUGGGAGCAUGCUGGGGCUGUCCCCACGGCCCCCUGCCUGGGGACCUGUCCGUGUGUCCCGGCUGCAUGCAGCGCCCAGGGCAGGUCCUCGUUGUGGCUGGCGGUGGGGAUGGAGCCUGCGCUGCCGGCCGUGUGCCAGAGGCCCUGCGUGGAGGCACAUGCCUGUCCUGCCUCCUGGGCCCAGGUGUCACGGCCGGGAGCCCCAUCGCCCAAGCCGCCCUGCGCGCCUGGAGAGGCAGCACCGUGCUGUGACCGCGUGUCCCUCUGCAAGUCCGUCCUGCCCAGCUCACUGCUCUCCCGGGAUGGGAGCUGGGCCGCGUUGGCUGCAAAAUGCUGCCAAUUUUUACAGCUGGGGUUUUACAGGGAAGGGGGGUCGGGGGUGGGCUUUUAUUGAACCGUGUUUGCAUUUUUGGAGCUUUUUAAGAGACACUUUCAGCUGUGCGUGUCUUGCCCAGAGCCACCUCCUCCCUUGGCACCUCUCUGGAAACGCUUUUCCUCUGUUCCCUGUGCCCUGCCAGGUUGGCACAGCACAGGGAGCACAGGGCUGGCCAUGGGGCGGACAGGCGGGCGAGCGUCCCCGCUUCCAGCGCCGCCCUAGCGUUCCUGCCCGGAGCACGACCCAGCCCCCUCCUUCCUUCCUGCAGCCUGGCCUGCGUGGAGGAUGGCCCCAGGGAGCCGGAGUACGUGUGCGGGCCCAGGAGGGAGCCCCUUGUCCCCUCACCAAAGGGUGA
rnacentral:lncRNA from 1 species